ACGCUAGCUACAGGCUUAACACAUGCAAGUCGAGGGGCAGCAUGGUCUUAGCUUGCUAAGGCCGAUGGCGACCGGCGCACGGGUGAGUAACACGUAUCCAACCUGCCGUCUACUCUUGGACAGCCUUCUGAAAGGAAGAUUAAUACAAGAUGGCAUCAUGAGUCCACAUGUUCACAUGAUUAAAGGUAUUCCGGUAGACGAUGGGGAUGCGUUCCAUUAGAUAGUAGGCGGGGUAACGGCCCACCUAGUCUUCGAUGGAUAGGGGUUCCGAGAGGAAGGUCCCCCACAUUGGAACUGAGACACGGUCCAAACUCCUACGGGAGGCAGCAGUGAGGAAUAUUGGUCAAUGGGCGAGAGCCUGAACCAGCCAAGUAGCGUGAAGGAUGACUGCCCUAUGGGUUGUAAACUUCUUUUAUAAAGGAAUAAAGUCGGGUAUGCAUGCCCGUUUGCAUGUACUUUAUGAAUAAGGAUCGGCUAACUCCGUGCCAGCAGCCGCGGUAAUACGGAGGAUCCGAGCGUUAUCCGGAUUUAUUGGGUUUAAAGGGAGCGUAGAUGGAUGUUUAAGUCAGUUGUGAAAGUUUGCGGCUCAACCGUAAAAUUGCAGUUGAUACUGGAUAUCUUGAGUGCAGUUGAGGCAGGCGGAAUUCGUGGUGUAGCGGUGAAAUGCUUAGAUAUCACGAAGAACUCCGAUUGCGAAGGCAGCCUGCUAAGCUGCAACUGACAUUGAGGCUCGAAAGUGUGGGUAUCAAACAGGAUUAGAUACCCUGGUAGUCCACACGGUAAACGAUGAAUACUCGCUGUUUGCGAUAUACGGCAAGCGGCCAAGCGAAAGCGUUAAGUAUUCCACCUGGGGAGUACGCCGGCAACGGUGAAACUCAAAGGAAUUGACGGGGGCCCGCACAAGCGGAGGAACAUGUGGUUUAAUUCGAUGAUACGCGAGGAACCUUACCCGGGCUUAAAUUGCAGAUGAAUUACGGUGAAAGCCGUAAGCCGCAAGGCAUCUGUGAAGGUGCUGCAUGGUUGUCGUCAGCUCGUGCCGUGAGGUGUCGGCUUAAGUGCCAUAACGAGCGCAACCCUUGUUGUCAGUUACUAACAGGUUCCGCUGAGGACUCUGACAAGACUGCCAUCGUAAGAUGUGAGGAAGGUGGGGAUGACGUCAAAUCAGCACGGCCCUUACGUCCGGGGCUACACACGUGUUACAAUGGGGGGUACAGAGGGCCGCUACCACGCGAGUGGAUGCCAAUCCCCAAAACCUCUCUCAGUUCGGACUGGAGUCUGCAACCCGACUCCACGAAGCUGGAUUCGCUAGUAAUCGCGCAUCAGCCACGGCGCGGUGAAUACGUUCCCGGGCCUUGUACACACCGCCCGUCAAGCCAUGGGAGCCGGGGGUACCUGAAGUGCGUAACCGCGAGGAGCGCCCUAGGGUAAAACUGGUGACUGGG
rnacentral:rRNA from 1 species